AACGAACGCUGGCGGCAUGCCUAACACAUGCAAGUCGAACGAGACCUUCGGGUCUAGUGGCGCACGGGUGCGUAACGCGUGGGAACCUGCCCUUAGGUUCGGAAUAACUCCCCGAAAGGGGUGCUAAUACCGGAUAAUGUCUUCGGACCAAAGAUUUAUCGCCUUUGGAUGGGCCCGCGUUGGAUUAGCUAGUUGGUAGGGUAAAAGCCUACCAAGGCGACGAUCCAUAGCUGGUCUGAGAGGAUGAUCAGCCACACUGGGACUGAGACACGGCCCAGACUCCUACGGGAGGCAGCAGUGGGGAAUAUUGGAAAAUGGGCGAAAGCCUGAUCCAGCAAUGCCGGGUGAGUGAUGAAGGCCUUAGGGUUGUAAAGCUCUUUUACCCGGGAUGAUAAUGACAGUACCGGGAGAAUAAGCCCCGGCUAACUCCGG
rnacentral:rRNA from 1 species